rnacentral:rRNA from 1 species
CUAGCAUAUCAAUAAGCGGAGGAAAAGAAACUAACAAGGAUUCCCCUAGUAACUGCGAGUGAAGCGGGAAGAGCUCAAAUUUAAAAUCUGGCGGCCUUGCCGUCCGAGUUGUAAUCUGGAGAAGCAUUUUCCGCGUCAGACCGUGUACAAGUCUCUUGGAAUAGAGCGUCAUAGAGGGUGAGAAUCCCGUCCAUGACACGGACUGCUGGUGCUUUGUGAUAUGCUCUCGAAGAGUCGAGUUGUUUGGGAAUGCAGCUCAAAAUGGGUGGUAAAUUCCAUCUAAAGCUAAAUAUUGGCGAGAGACCGAUAGCGAACAAGUACCGUGAGGGAAAGAUGAAAAGCACUUUGGAAAGAGAGUUAAACAGUACGUGAAAUUGUUGAAAGGGAAACGCUUGAAGUCAGUCGCGUUCGUUGAGACUCAGCCUUGCUUUGCUUGGUGUACUUCUCAUAGAACGGGUCAACAUCAAUUUUGGUUGGUGGAUAAAGGCAUCGGGAAUGUGGCACCCUCGGGUGUGUUAUAGACCGUUGCUGCAUACACUGACUGGGAUUGAGGAACGCAGCACGCCACUAAGGCCGGGAGUUCGCUCCACGUAACGUGCUUAGGAUGUUGGCAUAAUGGCUUUAAGCGACCCGUCUUGAAACACGGACCAAGGAGUCUAACAUGCUUGCGAGUGUUAGGGUGGAAAACCCUUGCGCGGAAUGAAAGUGAAAGUUGGGACUCUYCUGGAGGCACCGACGCCCGGCCCUGAAGUUUACUGACGGUGCUGCGGUAGAGCACGUAUGUUGGGACCCGAAAGAUGGUGAACUAUGCCUGAAUAGGGUGAAGCCGGGGGAAACUCUGGUGGAGGCUCGUAGCGAUUCUGACGUGCAAAUCGAUCGUCAAAUUUGGGUAUAGGGGCGAAAGACUAAUCGAACCAUCUAGUAGCUGGUUCCUGCCGAA